UACGGAGGAUGCGAGCGUUAUCCGGAUUUAUUGGGUUUAAAGGGUGCGUAGGCGGGCUUUUAAGCCAGCGGUAAAAAUUCGGGGCUCAACCCCGUCCGGCCGUUGAAACUGGGGGCCUUGAGUGGGCGAGAAGAAGGCGGAAUGCGUGGUGUAGCGGUGAAAUGCAUAGAUAUCACGCAGAACCCCGAUUGCGAAGGCAGCCUUCCGGCGCCCUACUGACGCUGAGGCACGAAAGUGCGGGGAUCGAACAGG
rnacentral:rRNA from 1 species